CUGGUAACUGACCACAGAUCUCCCCCUGCACGGUGAGGCCAAGUGCACCGGGGCUUGGAGCGACUCAGUGGCUUCCUGUCAGUACAGUAGAAGGAAGAGCAAGGCUGCCUGCCUCCAGCUGAAGUCACAGCUUUGAGAGAGCUGACUGGAUAGCAUUCAUCCAUGGCCACAUCACACGGAGGGUAACCAAGCCUCAGGGAGUGAAACCACCAGAGGGUGUCCUUUAGAGCUUUUGUCCAAAUGCCUAGAAGAGUUUGGAGCCCGUACUGGACAAAUGCCAGACGUUUGCAGAAUUAAUGAGGUGGCAGAGCAUCCCCUGUCCCUGGCACCAUCCUGGCUUCUGCACUUCAAGUCCCCAGUCCUAAGUGAGCUGUGACAGUUGGUCAUGGUGCCCUUGAGUGACCAUCCUGAGAGACAAGUAUGGAGGUUCCUUCCAAGGAGGGUCAGCUCUUUCUCCGCAUACACCCCAGAGCCUGUGGACCCCAUGACACCAGGGCAGGUGUCUCCAGCCUUCUGCUUGUUUCCUCCUCAGGACACUAAGAAGCACCCACAGCGCACACCACUGACAUGUAAGAGGUUGUAUGUGACAAAACGCCAAGUGGAAAGCCAAAUGUGCCAGGACCCGGCACAUGGCAGCCAUGCUGCAGGGACUGAAGGGCGGGAGGAAGCUGGGGUU